rnacentral:rRNA from 1 species
GGAUGCGAUCAUACCAGCACUAAAGCACCAGAUCCCAUAAGAACUCCGAAGUUAAGCGUGCUUGGGCGAGAGUAGUACUAGGAUGGGUGACCUCCUGGGAAGUCCUCGUGUUGCAUUCC